UAUUAAAGGAAGGGGCAUAUCAGGAUGUCAGUUUGGUAAGUGAAUGUGAGAAAUAGAGAAGUAAGAGCACGAUGGAUGAGGAACAAAGAAGAAAGGCCUUAGAACAAAUGACAAAGGAUGGUUACAGUAUGAGUUGUUGGAGAUGGUAUCGGGGAAUGAUCAGAUAAUCUGGGUUGAUUGAGACUAUCAGAGUUUCAAAGUGGCAUGUUGUGUUUUAAUCGGUUUUUCUUCGGGUGUGAUUUUAUGGUGAUGCUCAGGAAUCUGUUGAGUUUGAUCAAGAGAGAAGUGGAUGUUGGAAGUUGAGUUACAGAAGACAGUAAGUGGGUAAGUUCAGAUAAGGUCAGAGGAUUGGUGUUGCUGGUCAUGGGUAUCUUGAGGUUCAGGGGAUCAAAGACAGAGUUUGUAUUUCUAAAGAUUCUGAUUUGAAGAGGGCAAUUCUUGAAGAAGAAGAUUUUAAGUUAAUUUGGCCGAAUGAGUGCAGCAGGUACAAUUGAGCGAAGGAUAGAAGCAAGUGUUAUGAGAAUUCAAGAUGUAUGAUGAACGCAAGUGAAGAAGCUAUGAUGUUGUCUUACUUAAGUCUGAGGUGUGAUUACAGGAGAGGUUUAACUGUUUUCUUUUUUUUAAUUGUUUCAGAUAGUCAUGGCCUUCAAAAGAAGUACUGUGUUUUGAGAAGGGGAAGCAUGGUAUUACAUUAGAAGUGUGUCAAGUUAUAAAAGAGAAGACAAAGGGUUGUAAGAGUCAGAAUAUGUUAGCAAGGAUAGAGGGAGAAGAGAAGAUAGAUCUUCAUGGUGUAAUAGUUCUGGUUGGUGUUCUGCAACAAUUAUGAGAUUUUUAUAACUUGGAGAGGUGGUGUUCACUAUGGAAUGGUGUUAGUAAUCUAUUUAGGGGUGGUUUCUUUUUAAGUUGUGUAAUGCAAGAGGAAGAUGGAAGUUGAGUUAAAGUAAUGGUGUUUGGACUCGGUGUAGUCAUAGGGAGAACUAUAAGGUUAAAGAAUCUCACAAGAGAAUUAAAGGACAGGUUGGAACAGUCUAGUAUAAGUCUUGGCAAUCAUAAGUGAUUUCGAGCAUGGUUGUUUUGUGGAGUAGAAAAGCAGUGUUGAGGAAAAUGGAAUGACAAGGUUAUCAUGGAAGAAAAGAGUUAUCGGGGUUUUCCAAAGUCAUGGAAGCUUUGAAGAAGGUUCUUCAAGGGUGAUUAUCUUCGAGUUGUAAAUUGUCAUGAAGGAAGUGUUCUUUCCGUGAACUAGUGAACAAGGGGGUUUGAUGAUCAGAGUAGCGCAGCGGGUGUUAGUGGGUUUCUCAAAAUGGUUGAGAAAGCGCAGUUUGGACAAUCCUAGUUUGAGAUGUAUCAUAAGUUGGAUUGAUAUUGAUCAAGCUAGUGAUCUCAAGUCGAAGAGGUUACAGAUCUAAGUAUGAUUGCAGGCUAGUGGAUCAAGAAAUGUAUAUGGUUCAGGUCAGUGAGAUAACGAAGUGAAGCUAAAUUACUCACAUUGGUUUUGGCGUUGCAAAGUAGAAAAGUUUUACUUUGGUAAUGAGAUAAUGUUGUAGGAAACUAUGCUACUCAAUAGUGGAGAUGAGUAAAGCAAUGUGAAGUCCUCAGAAUGGAUGUGGUUAAAGAUGAUUAAGAAUAUAGUGGUUGAUGGUUAACUCGGAGAUUGUGGUGAUUAAGUCGGAGGUAUGGUGGUUCUUGGAAGAAACAAGAGGAGGUAAAUGAGUAUCAGUCAAGGGUUUAUAUAAAGUGAAGACUAUUAGGAGUUUUAGAAGAGAUUUACAAGAAGGAAAGAAAGAUUCUUAAAAAGUUGAGGCGUAUAGGUUUAGAAUGGUCUAGAGGCAAAUGGCUAAACCAAUCUACACUAUGGAACACUAGGACAUCUUAACAUAGAGGCAAGGUUUUCAUGAUCAGUAAAGUUGUUGGGGAGUAGAAUGUUUGUCAAAUAGGUGGUUGUACUAGAGAAUGUAAUGAGAGUAGGGUGUCCCUAUUUUCUCGUAAGCACAAUUUUCAAGGACGAAAAUUUUUGUUGUUGGGGAGAAUGUAAGGCCUUGCAAAAAUGCCAUUUAAGUGUGUGUACACGUGGCAGCAUAGGAUAGGUUGAAUACUAUUAGUAAAGGGAAAUAUACUU
rnacentral:lncRNA from 1 species